UGUGUUGCAGAGUGGCUCUUUCAGCAUUCAGCAACUCUACUGGUACAAGUUCUUCACUUCAUGGUUCCUAGGACUGGAUUGUCUAGGUUGUUCUGGCUUUGGGCUUAUAUAGCUGCCAGUCAGCCUUCCUGAACAUGCCCCCCCAUGCUCAAGACCUGGAAAUACACCACAGACGCUGUUCCAGGGCAUCUGUCUGCAGCUGCUGUCAAGUCCUCUACGUGUCUGAGAGAAACUGCCUGGAAGGACCCCAGCAUGACCUCACCAGCACACCUUCUGGUUAGGAAAGUGCUAGACAGCAGGCUGGCAGGACCUGUUUGAGAACAGCCAGGCCAGGACAUGCUGCUGCCAUGGUAUAAACAUGCCUUCUCUCCAAAAGCAAAGGGAGUCUUGAAAUUUAAUAAAAAUGUUUAUUUCAGGCCUUAA